AUGACGUUGUACUUCAAAAUUUCUUUAAAAAGGCUGGCGUAACAGAAGAACACUUAAAUGACCAAGAAACUAGAGAGUUUAUUUUCGAUUUUAUCAGGCAAUACUCUAAAGUAGAUGAUGACAGAAACCACCAGACAAAACCGAUUCCUAGUACAUACACGAGUUUAGCUAAAAAUUUGCAAGAUGAAGUUGAAAGAAGAUCACAACAAGAAUACAACGAUCUUUUAUUAGCUUCAUAUAGAUCGCAUAUUCCAUUACCAUUUUCUUAUUAAUUUCAAGUAAAGUUAGCUAAAAUUUUUAUUAUAUACU